rnacentral:rRNA from 1 species
UUCGCCUGUUUAUCAAAAACAUCUUUUCUUGUUAGUUUUUGAAGUAUGGCCUGCCCGCUGACAUUUGGUGUUGAAGGGCCGCGGUAUUUUGACCGUGCAAAGGUAGCAUAAUCAUUAGUUCUUUAAUUGUGAUCUGGAAUGAAUGGCUUGACGAGGCACGGGCUGUCUUAGUGUUGAAUGUUUUAUUGAAUUUGGUCUUUGAGUUAAAAUUCUUAGAUGUUUUUGUGGGACGAGAAGACCCUAUAGAGUUUGACAUUUGGUUUAUUUACUUGUUUGUUGUUUGUUUAUUUUUGGUGAGUGGGCUUUUUGUUUUGUUGGGGUGAUGGGAGGAAUGUACUUAACUCCUCUUAGUUUUGGUUAUAUUGAUUUAUAAUUGUUUGAUCCAUUUAUUUUGAUUGUAAGACUAAAUUACCUUAGGGAUAACAGCGUAA